rnacentral:rRNA from 1 species
CCAAAGAAGGAGAAGGCCCCGGUGGCGUCGUCGAAGCCGGCCAAGUCCGGCGGUGGCAAGCAGAAGAAGAAGAAGUGGAGCAAGGGCAAGCAAAAGGAGAAGGUGAACAACGUGGUGCCCAAGUACAAGCAGAUCACGCCCUCUGUCCUCUCCGAGCGCCUCAGGGUAACGCCCGCUCGCCAUCCCCCCUCCUCCUCAUGGCUCCUGGUGAAGUGUUCUGCUCUGAGCAAGAACAAGAUCUCUGUUUUGGGGUCAGUCAGUCAGAUUUUGCUUGGUGUGCCAUGUUAUAGCUAG